CGGGCCUCUUUUUCCACCCUCUCCACACACCCUCUCUACUCCGCCCUUUCGUCCCCGUCUCCGGCCGUUUCCCACCGCCGCUCGCCGGAGCUAGCCAAGCUUUUGUUGCAUAUAUCCUUUACUCCAAAAGUUUCCACGUUUCUGACACCGUCGGCCGGAUUGGCCGUCGAUGUAAAAGUGUUCUUCUUGAAUCGUGAGGUUAGAUAGCGGCCGUAGGAAUAGGAUCGUCUUGCCAUCUCCGGCGGCGUGUAGGAUGCCCAUCGAAGAUUGGGACUGAGGCGUCGGCGGCGGAUAAAUGUACCGCAAAAACGCGUCGGCACUAACCUGCUUCUACCUGUGUUCUCGUUGAUUGAUUGGAAGUUGGAGAGAAGUGAUCUCGGCGAUGGAGCUGGAUCUGAACGUGGAGGAGAAGCCGGCGGCGGUGGCGCGGAGCGACUCCGGGACGUCGGAGUCGUCGGUGCUGAACGCGGAGGCGUCCUGCGGCGGGGGCGCCGCGCCGGCCGAGGAGGCCUCCAGCUCGACGCGCCAGCCGGCGCCGGCGCCGCGGGCGGUGCUCGAGUUCAGCAUCCUGAGGAGCUCGGCGUCCGCCGAGGGCGAGAACGACGUCGGCGCCGACGACGACGAGGAGGAGGCCACUCCCUCGCCUCCACCUCCGCCGACGCGGCACUACCACCAGCACCUGCUGCAGCCGCAACAACUCGUCACCCAAGAGCUGUUCCCCGCCGCGGCCACCGCCGGCGGUCCGCCGCCGAUGUCCGUGCCGCAGCAUUGGGCCGAGCUCGGCUUCUUCCGCCCCGCGGCGCCGCCUCCGGACAUGAGGAUCCUGCAGAUGCAGCAGCAGCAGCUGCAGGUGCACGCGCAGCCCCCGCCGCCGCCGGCGGCCCAGCCGCCGGUGGCCAAGAAGAGCCGCCGCGGCCCGCGCUCCCGCAGCUCGCAGUACCGCGGCGUGACCUUCUACCGCCGCACCGGCCGCUGGGAAUCCCAUAUCUGGGAUUGCGGCAAGCAGGUGUACUUGGGUGGAUUUGACACUGCACAUGCUGCUGCAAGGGCGUACGAUCGAGCGGCGAUCAAGUUCCGUGGCGUCGACGCCGACAUAAACUUCAACCUCAGCGACUACGAGGACGACAUGAAGCAGAUGAAGGGCCUGUCCAAGGAGGAGUUCGUGCACGUGCUGCGGCGGCAGAGCACCGGCUUCUCGCGGGGCAGCUCCAAGUACAGAGGCGUCACCCUGCACAAGUGCGGCCGGUGGGAGGCGCGCAUGGGCCAGUUCCUCGGCAAGAAGGCUUACGACAAGGCGGCGAUCAAAUGCAACGGUAGGGAGGCCGUGACGAACUUCGAGCCGAGCACCUAUGAUGCGGAGCUGCUCAGUGAGGUUGCUGCUGAAGGCGCAGAUGUCGACCUCAACUUGAGCAUAUCUCAACCAACUUCACAAAGUCCCAAAAGGGAUAAGAGCAGCCUUGGCCUGCAACUCCACCAUGGAUCAUAUGAAGGCUCUGAACUAAAGAGACCAAAGGUCGAUGCGCCCCCUGAGAUGGUCGCAAUCCCUCAUCGAUACCCCCUUCUGACCGAGCAUCCACCAAUCUGGCAUGGCCAAUCAUAUCCCAUCUUUUUAAAUAAUGAGGAUGCAGCCAGAGAUCAUAGCAGGAGGCCAGAGGUGGCCACAGGGGGUGUUCCAACCUGGGCAUGGAGUGUGAGCCACCCUCCUCCAACACAACCCAUGCCACUCUUCUCGUCGUCAUCGUCCGCUGCAGCAUCAUCAGGAUUCUCCAAAACCGCCGCGGCAGCUGCCCCCGGCGCCCCAUCGGCCUCAUUCCGGUUCGACCCGAUGGCGCCAUCAUCAUCGUCAAGCAACCAACACCACCACCACCCCCGCUGAAAAAGAAGCCAUACUGUAAAUUUUCUGGGAAGCCAGUAUCUUUUUGCCCCUCCGGCGUUUCAGCGUUUUCGGUCUUGCGCCGGGGCGGUUUCAGGUAGUGGAUUGGAUUCAUGACUGUAUUUCCCAUGCUGCCCAAAGUGAAAUGUCACUUCUUUUCUGCGCUCUCUGCAGCAUUGGUCCCAUAAUUCUUGAUGUCAGAUACUAACGUCAGCUCAUCUCACCAUCUGAGAUGGAUUUAUACCAUUGUUGUAGACAAACUUGUCACUGAAAUUCAGCAGUACCGAUACCAUAAGAUAAGAGGAACCUUUACUUUGGGAAUUAUUCCAGCCCCUUUUCUUGGAUGUCAGUUGGCCCUUGUUUUUGCUCUAC
rnacentral:rRNA from 1 species